rnacentral:tRNA from 1 species
GAGGGUAGAGCUCAGUGGUAAGAGUACAGGCUUAGCUUGCAGGAGGUCCUGGGUUCAAGCCCCAGUACCUCCA